rnacentral:rRNA from 1 species
UAGCGGGGGGGGCAAGCUUGUUCGGAAUUACUGGGCGUAAAGAGCGUGUAGGCGGCCAGAUAAGUCCGCUGUGAAAUCUCGAGGCUCAACUUCGAGCUGUCGGUGGAAACUGUCUGGCUAGAGUCCGGAAGAGGAGAAUGGAAUUCCUGGUGUAGCGGUGAAAUGCGUAGAUAUGCGGAGGAACACCGAUGGCGAAGGCAAUCCCCUGGGCCUGCACUGACGCUCAUGCACGAAAGGCGUGGGGAGCAAACAGG